rnacentral:lncRNA from 1 species
AUGUUCUUUGUAUAAAAUUAAAUUUUAGGCUUUGGCUAUAGAUUCCGAGAUAGCUCCUUUUUUAAUUGGCCUGGAUUAUAGAGAAGAAAUCUGUUUUCACUGUGCAUUUGUUACCCGUUCUUCUCUGGGAUCCAUGUUCCUGAUGGAUCUUCUAAUGAUCUGAGAGGUGAUAUCUACUAUGAAAAUCCAAAAACCCUGGACUGUAUCAACUUAAUUUGUUUCAAGUUUUUGUGUCUGAGACUUGGUCGUCUGUGCCCAGGCUGACCUCCAACUAGAUCUAUAGCAGAGAUUAGCCUUGAGCUGCUGAUCCUCUUUCCUCUCCCUCGCAAACGCUGGGAUUGUAGGUAUUCAUCACUAAAUUUGGCAGUGAUAGAUUAAUUUGGGAAAGAAAAUCCAAAAGUAGGAUUCUCAACAGAGCCAAAAAGAUGAAAGAACAUCCUAGUUCUGCUUACAGCUCCUUCACUCUUCCUGUUUGUAGGACCAGAGGCCUGAUCAUGAUAGUGGAGUUCAUCUCUCCAGGAGUGAAAUUAUAGGGGGAUUUGAAAUUUCUGAAGUCAACUGGUUCUUAAGCUUCAAAAGCAAUUGACCUUUUCUAUAGGAAGCUACUUCUCCAUGUUUUACAUAGCCACGACAUUUCAAGAAGGACCUCAGGUUAAGAAGCAAUGGCUCUCAGUCAUUUUUUUCUCCACAUCCUGACAGCCAUAAAAAUAUUUGUGUGACACACUGGGUAAGUUAAAAAGAGUUAAAGACUUGGUAUUUGGGGAAAAAUUCAUUUUCUUUCUAUCAUAUACUUUUUAAAAAACAACAGCAAUAACAAAACCCUCAAAACAGGGUCUCUAGUAGCCCAGGUUGGUCUUGUACUUACUUUGUGUCUGACACCUGCAGUGCCUGGUCCUCCUACCUUAGCCUUUCAAAUACUGCAAUUACUAGCUUAUGCACCAUGCUUGGCUUAAUGAUGUAUACUAUUCGUAAAAGAUAAAAUAAAUGAUGUAUCAAGGAUAUUAAAUAUUUAAUUUGUAUAAGUUUCAAAAUAAAAUCUUUUUAAAUUUUUGGAGUAUCCGAGAUUCCUUCUGUAAACAUAGCAUGUUUUAAUAUACAGUUUUAUGACUAAAAUGACAGCGUUCAUUAUCUAUGAAAAACUGUAAUGGUGACCUCUUCAAAUUAUUGGUAGCCAUUAUUGGUAAGAACUUAGUUUAUACAUGUAAUUAAUAAAAACUUAAAAUAAUUCUC